rnacentral:rRNA from 1 species
AUCCAGACUCCUACGGGAGGCAGCAGUGGGGAAUAUUGCACAAUGGGGGAAACCCUGAUGCAGCGACGCCGCGUGAGCGAUGAAGUAUUUCGGUAUGUAAAGCUCUAUCAGCAGGGAAGAAAAUGACGGUACCUGACUAAGAAGCCCCGGCUAACUACGUGCCAGCAGCCGCGGUAAUACGUAGGGGGCAAGCGUUAUCCGGAUUUACUGGGUGUAAAGGGAGCGUAGACGGCUGUGCAAGCCAGAUGUGAAAGCCCGGGGCUCAACCCCGGGACUGCAUUUGGAACUGUGUGGCUGGAGUGUCGGAGAGGCAGGCGGAAUUCCUAGUGUAGCGGUGAAAUGCGUAGAUAUUAGGAGGAACACCAGUGGCGAAGGCGGCCUGCUGGACGAUGACUGACGUUGAGGCUCGAAAGCGUGGGGAGCAAACAGGAUUAGAUACCCCAGUAC